rnacentral:rRNA from 1 species
CCUACGGGUGACAGCAGUGAGGAAUAUUGGUCAAUGGCCGCUGGGCUGAACCAGCCAAGUAGCGUGAGGGAUGACGGUCCUAUGGAUUGUAAACCUCUUUUGUCAGGGAGUAAAGUGCGCCACGUGUGGCGCUUUGCGAGUACCUGAAGAAAAAGCAUCGGCUAACUCCGUGCCAGCAGCCGCGGUAAUACGGAGGAUGCGAGCGUUAUCCGGAUUUAUUGGGUUAAAAGGGUGCGCAGGCGGAAUGUCAAGUCAGCGGUAAAAUUUCGGGGCUCAACCCCGUCGUGCCGUUGAAACUGGCGUUCUUGAGUGAGCGAGAAGUAUGCGGAAUGCGUGGUGUAGCGGUGAAAUGCAUAGAUAUCACGCAGAACUCCGAUUGCGAAGGCAGCAUACCGGCGCUCAACUGACGCUCAUGCACGAAAGCGUAGGUAUCGAACAGGAUUAGAUACCCCUGUAGUC